CGUGGCUAACCUGCCCUUGGGACGAGAACACCCCCGGGAAACUGGGGCUAAUUUUCGAUAGGUGAAGAACUCUGGAAUGAGUCUUUGCUUAAAAGACGCUAAAGUUAUGCUCUUUGGCACCGCCCAAGGAUGGGGCCGCGACCGAUCAGGUUGUUGGUGAGGUAAUGGCUCACCAAGCCUCUUACCGGUGCGGGCCGUGGGAGCGGGAGCCCGGAGAUGGGCACUGAGACAAGGGCCCAGGCCCUACGGGGCGCAGCAGUCGCGAAAACUUUGCAAUAAGCGAAAGCUUGACAGGGCUAUCCCGAGUGCCAUCCGCUGAGGAAGGCUUUUACCCAGUCUAGAACGCUGGGGGAAUAAGGAGAGGGCAAGUCUGGUGUCAGCCGCCGCGGUAAUACCAGCUCUCCGAGUGGUGUGGAUGUUUAUUGGGCCUAAAGCAUCCGUAGCUGGCUAAGUUAGUCCCCUGUUAAAUCCACCGAAUUAAUCGUUGGAUUGCGGGGGAUACUGCUUGGCUAGGGGACGAGAGAGGCAGACGGUAUUUCCGGGGUAGGGGUGAAAUCCUAUAAUCCCGGGAAGACCACCAGUGGCGAAGGCUGUCUGCUAGAACGCGCCCGACGGUGAGGGAUGAAAGCUGGGGGAGCGAACCGGAUUAGAUACCCGGGUAGUCCCAGCUGU
rnacentral:rRNA from 1 species